GCUGUGUCAUGCAAGAAGGAGGCGGCGGCGGCGGCCGGAGCUGGAGGGGGAGGAGGGGAGGAACCUGAUCCUCGGUAGCGAAGGGCUGGAGGCAAACACCGAGCUCCCCCUGAGCCGCCUGGGAGCAGGGAGGGUUCUGCUACCCUGAGGGGCCCUCCCCGCGGGGCAGAGGGUGGGAGGAAGUCACAGCAUCUACUUCUGAAUCUGUGCUUGCCUUGAGGAAAAACGGCAUGGCACAGGAAUGUGGACGCUUUCAACCAGAGGAUUCUGUACGACGGUGUCGGCACACAAGGAGUGUUCCACUGACUGACCUCUUUUUGUUUUCAAAUGAAGAGGAGCCAAGAAUAGGACAGCUUGGGAAGCUCAUCCUCGUCUACGGCCAAACGUUGGUUUCUCAUUUCUAGAAGAUGAAAGAUGUGAUGACUCAGGAAAAACUUGCUGCUCGAGAUGUGAGUCUUCAGAUGUUCCUGCCGCCAUAUCUGACAGCUGCUGCCAAGAUUCCCUGGUGGGAUGGACUCUUAUACCUCAACAACCAGAAGCCCAAGUAAACUCUUCUAUAAAUUGAAUGACUCAUGCUUAAAAAAAAAAACAAAAAACAAACUAUCUUUAUUU
rnacentral:lncRNA from 1 species